UACGUAGGUGGCGAGCGUUGUCCGGAUUUAUUGGGCGUAAAGGGAACGCAGGCGGUCUUUUAAGUCUGAUGUGAAAGCCUUCGGCUUAACCGAAGUAGUGCAUUGGAAACUGGAAGACUUGAGUGCAGAAGAGGAGAGUGGAACUCCAUGUGUAGCGGUGAAAUGCGUAGAUAUAUGGAAGAACACCAGUGGCGAAAGCGACUCUCUGGUCUGUAACUGACGCUGAGGUUCGAAAGCGUGGGUAGCAAACAGG
rnacentral:rRNA from 1 species